CACGGGGGGGGCAAGCGUUGUUCGGAAUUACUGGGCGUAAAGGGCUCGUAGGUGGCCAACUAAGUCAGACGUGAAAUCCCUCGGCUUAACCGGGGAACUGCGUCUGAUACUGGAUGGCUUGAGUUUGGGAGAGGGAUGCGGAAUUCCAGGUGUAGCGGUGAAAUGCGUAGAUAUCUGGAGGAACACCGGUGGCGAAGGCGGCAUCCUGGACCAACACUGACGCUGAUGAGCGAAAGCGUGGGGAGCGAACAGG
rnacentral:rRNA from 1 species